UUUUGUUUGUUUGUUUGGAGUGUUGUUUCUUUGUUUUGGUUUGGGGGUUUUGUUGUUUGUUUGGUGGGUUUUUUUGGUUUUGUUUUUUUUGGGGGGGUUGGGGUUUUUUUUUUGGUUUUUUGUGUUUGUUUUUAUUUGGAAGGCAACAAACCUGAAAUUUAUGGGAUCAGCCAGGGAAUGUGUAAUGAGAAAAAGGCUUUGCUGAAAAUUCCUGCAGAAACCUGCUGUCACCGACUCUUUUGGUUGUCCAUGGCAAUCAGGCUCUUUUGGGAAUGGGGUGUUUGAGCCCUGAUGGCUCAUUAUCACAACGAUGAAGGUUCUGGGCCUGGCUUGAACCCAGAUCCCGUUUCCCAGAGCUGUUUUUCUCCCAUAACUCUGGUUAUUUUGCAGACAGCAUGAACAGAAAGGCCUUUCGGGACGGAAUAAAGCCAGGCUGGCACUACUUCGGCAGGAAGAUGGUGAGUGAGGAAGGGCUUGGGCUUUUCCAGCUACAGACGACCUGGUCAGUGGAGAAACAGAGCUGGGUUUUUUGCUACUGAUGCACUUUUGCAAAGUCCACAUGACUCAAUUUUUUCUCCCUAAAGUAGAGGGGAAAAUACCAGCCCUGCGGGGCUGUGGAUGCUCUGAACAUCUCUCCUGGGGUUUUGAAGUGCUCGGGAGCCCUUGGGUGGAAAAUGGGAAGAGAAACCUUUACAAGCUGUGGGUUUGGGGGCAGUGAAGUGCCUGGUGCUGCUCCUGCAGGACGUGGCCGAUUUCGAGUGGGUGAUGUGGUUCACCUCGUUCAGGAACAUCAUCAUCUUCGCCCUCUCUGGACACGUCCUCUUCGGCAAGAUCUGCUCCAUGACUGUGCCACAGCACCGGGCUGUGAUGUACAUGAUCUACGGGGUCCUGGCUGUGCUGGGCAGCAUGGGGCUGGUCUACCUGAUGAUCAUCCUCUCCCACUGCCUGGUCCUCUACUCGGUGGCCCUGGCCAAGCAGAAGUGGCUUUGCUACGUGGCCGGGCUCUGCUGCCUUGCCUCCUUCAAGGUGGAACCCUUUGGCUCGUGGCAGGUGGGUGCUGUCCUGGCCACGUGUCUGCCUUGUUUCCAGGCCACUGGUGUCCCUCUCCUCGGGGUUAUCCCCAGGGAGGGCUCCUGGGGCAGCCCCAGGCCCUGGCCAUUUCUCCUGGCUGCAUCAGAGCUCUCACAGCAUUUUAGAGCGAAGGGACUGUCG
rnacentral:lncRNA from 1 species